GCGGGUGUAGCUCAAUGGUAGAGCCCCAGCCUUCCAAGCUGGCCGUGUGGGUUCGAUUCCCAUCACCCGCU
rnacentral:tRNA from 1 species